rnacentral:ribozyme from 1 species
UCGUAGGAGCGAUAGAUAAUUCAGACGUGGGUACGUGAAGUGCACUCACUCACGCACUUGAGAGGACUUACGUGAUGAGACAAACAAAACGUACCAAAGGAGCAUGGCAAGGGGAAGACAUCAAACAAAGG